rnacentral:lncRNA from 1 species
CAGACGCCAGCGGGUGCCAGUUCCGGAAAUGCUGGUGCCCUUUACCACCUCUCAAUUUGACACUAAUAAGCGUGAUUCGGACUCUGCGUUUCAGAGCGGCAGCCGAAUGUGGUUGCCAGCAAGGGCAAGCAGCUGGUGCCAGCAGGCUUUUCCAGGCAAGGCAGGAGUGCUGUAUUUCCUCCACCUCCUCACUGCUCAGAGAUGGUCUUGGAGCUGAUCCACUUGGUUACCCGCAGACAGGAACGGAGUCAGCAGCAGCCAGGCCAGAUGGCCCUGCGUCCACUCCGGAACCAAGACUCUCCUCCGAGGAGCAGAGAGAGUGCAGUGUCAGCGUCACCCCUCCGGGGAAGCCUUCCUGGACAUGCUCUCCACUUCUGCUGCCCAUCAUUCUGUCCCAUUUGCCACCUCCUUGGUCCAAGUCAUCAUCACAUGCUGACUAUAGCAUGAUCCAAGAUGGUUGCAGAAGCUCCAGCUAUCACAGUUGCACUCCAGGGAGGAGAUGAGAUAUAAAAAAGCCUUCUACCAGAUGACUAGUCCGCAGAGGCUUUCAGAGGACUAUCAGACUUUGCUCUUCUUGCAUCUCAUGUCCAAUCAUAGCGGCAGCAGAGGGCGACACAAUCACAUCAACUGAAACAGACCCAGGACCUACUUACUGUAGAGGGUAGUGGUUAGACGGGCAGAUAGCACGCUCUGCCCUGCUUACUGCUGUUUCCUGCUCUGUUAACAGCCUGCACACUAACAGUGUCCCUCACGGUCCACUCUCCAAACAGCCAGGCCUCCAGCCUGAACAGCCUUGGGGUCUGCAAUCCCUGAGGUCGGCCAGAACGCCUCGUGGCUCAGCCCUGCUGCCCUGCGUCUCCCCAGGUCCCCCCUUUAUCUGCAGUGAGGAUGCUCCCAAAGCUCCUCAGAGGCCUUGGCUGGGCGGAGCCCUUCCACCCUCUCCCAGGCCCCCUGCAGGCCGCAGCCAUGGACUCGCCCUCCCCAGCGGCUGCUCACCAAAUCUGGACAGACCCUCCCGCUGAAUGCUGGGCCCUACACACCCGGCAGCCUCAGGGUGAGUGCAUUUGUUCAGCCUGACAGGACUUAGGGAAAGGAUAAAUGGGACUCACACACAACUCUCUCCCUAAAUCUGCACAAAAGCUGUGAAUCUUGGAUUGCAUCAGGUCCUGCCUGACUAGCCUCUUACCAAUGCCUAAAGAAAACCCCUCCUGCCGGGCAGGGUGGCGGAAGCCUGAGACCCUACCACUCCAGAAGCCGGAGGCAGGAGGAUUACAGAGCCCAGCCUGGGCAACUUAGAGAGAUCCCAUCUCAAAAUAAAACAUGAAAAAGGGGCAAAGGAUGUGGCUCAGUGCAAAGCCUCUGGUUCAACCCCCAUUAGUGAAAAAUCAAUAAAUCCCUUCUUCUCCUUCUCCAUCUGCCCCUGCCUUCUUGUACAGAACUGCCUUUCCCAGGCUCCCCAGUUCAGCUGUCCUGCGCCUAGUGAUGCAAGCCGAGAGCCUGUUCCCCCAUCUCCAAUAGACUUAAGUAUAUUAAUCAAACAUUAGUAACCAAGCAUUCCCUAGGGCAGGCAGAGAGGGCACCCAUGUGUUUACAUC